GGCAGGAGUGACAUAUUUGAUUCAGACAGCCCACAUUACCCGGAUGGAGUUCACUCUUCACUCUUAGAGCCUGGUGAUUCUUCAUAUGUUUUCGAACCUGAGCAGUCUGACCUUUCCCAAGAUGAAGAAGAUAACUUCAGCAAAAGCCUGCUGCCUCCAUACAUCUUCCCAAAGCUUGAAGAUGUUGAUUACUCCGAUACGCCUGCAAAUUCCUGUAAUUUCGGAUUCCCGAUGGAAGAUCAUGCCUUUUGGUCCUGGUCUUACUGAGUUUCUUCUGCAAAAUUCGAAUUCCCGGGUUAUUAUCUUCUUGUUUAAAGUAUGGCAUAGAAGUGAAAAUAAG
rnacentral:lncRNA from 1 species